rnacentral:lncRNA from 1 species
AAAAAAACGUGAAUAUGCAAAAGCCAGGUAAUAUGUUAAUGAUAAAGUGUGUAUAAAUUUUCGUAAACGAAGUUACCCGUAUACUUCACCAAGAAUUACAUUUGAGCGCAAAGUUCUGUAUGUGUGAUUUGGUUGGUUUAUGUAACAUUUAUUUAGACUGGGAUCCUGGCUAAUCUUGACCUUACGACGCGCAGCUAGAUUGGGCCGGAUCCCAGGCUAAUGUAACAUCGUAGAACUCAGGGUAACGGAAUUUUUUGCGUUGCUAUUAGAUCAUCAUGAUCAUUGAGGCCAUCUAUUUUUAUUGCGGGUUCCACAUAUUUAAAUCGGAAUUAUAGAAAAAAUGGAAUGUUGUGAGCAGAAUCAAAACAGAAAUGAUGAACACUGCAACAUUUCCAGCAAAAUAUAAAUAGGAUGGAGGAUCUGUGUAUUCACAUUAUUUGUAAAACUCUCCUUAUUCAUGUGAAGCGUGUGCUUUACAUCGAGGCUUAUUCUUUACAUCGAGGCUUAUUCUUUACAUCGAGGCUUAUUAUGCUAAUCAUCGACGCCACAGUACUUCAACCAAUCAGACAAUGUUUAUUUGGGGC